rnacentral:rRNA from 1 species
UGGCGAACGGGUGAGUAACGCGUGAGGAACCUGCCUCAAAGAGGGGGACAACAGUUGGAAACGGCUGCUAAUACCGCAUAAGCCCACGACCCGGCAUCGGGAAGAGGGAAAAGGAGCAAUCCGCUUUGAGAUGGCCUCGCGUCCGAUUAGCUAGUUGGUGAGGUAACGGCCCACCAAGGCGACGAUCGGUAGCCGGACUGAGAGGUUGAACGGCCACACUGGGACUGAGACACGGCCCAG